AGACUGCAACACUGCAGUAAAGAAAGAGUUAAAUUGACAUGAGGGCAGUCACAUAGGAGAAGGGGUUAUUACUCAAAUCAGUC
rnacentral:sRNA from 1 species